AUUGAACGCUGGCGGCAGGCUUAACACAUGCAAGUCGAGCGGGGGAGGUUGCUUCGGUAACUGACCUAGCGGCGGACGGGUGAGUAAUGCUUAGGAAUCUGCCUAUUAGUGGGGGACAACAUUCCGAAAGGGAUGCUAAUACCGCAUACGCCCUACGGGGGAAAGCAGGGGAUCUUCGGACCUUGCGCUAAUAGAUGGGCCUAAGUCGGAUUAGCUAGUUGGUGGGGUAAAGGCCUACCAAGGCGACGAUCUGUAGCGGGUCUGAGAGGAUGAUCCGCCACACUGGGACUGAGACACGGCCCAGACUCCUACGGGAGGCAGCAGUGGGGAAUAUUGGACAGUGGGCGGAAGCCUGAUCCAGCCAUGCCGCGUGUGUGAAGAAGGCCUUUUGGUUGUAAAGCACUUUAAGCGAGGAGGAGGCUCUUAAGGUUAAUACCCUUGAUGAGUGGACGUUACUCGCAGAAUAAGCACCGGCUAACUCUGUGCCAGCCGCCGCCGUAAAAC
rnacentral:rRNA from 1 species